CCCGCGGGCGCCGCUCUUCGCCGGGGCCGCGUUCCCCGGGGGAUCCCCGCCCUACGUCCCGCUCCGGGCGCCGCGGCCGACGGCGGGGAGCUCGACCCCGUUCCGCCCGUACGCCGUGGAAACCCCCCUGGCGUAACGCAGGAGAGGGGAGGGAGCUCUGGAUCCCGCACUUUAACUCCCAAAGCCUCCCGGCGGACGCCUCGGUGACUGUGCCUUAAAGAAGUGACGGCGGGCAUCGCUUCGAACCAAGCCAAAAAAAAAAAAAACAAAAAACAAAACUGCCCUCCGGGACAUAGCCAUGAGCCUCAAGUGCUUCUUACUGUGCGCUGGGACCGCUCCGCUUCUGCCUUCCCCUCUCCGCCCCUCGGGGCUGCGCUGCGCACCGGCAGCGGGCGCGGGGAGGGGGGGCGGUAGGGGGAGAAGGGGCGGGGGCUGCCGCGGGGCCGUAGGUCCGAGCCGCAACGCCGCGCAUCACUGUGCCAAAAAAAAAAAAAAGAAAAGAAAAACCCUUUCUUUUUUUGUUUUGUUUUCCUCCUGCCCGGCACCCGCCAUCUCGUGGGAAAAGAGGACGUUAAGUUAUUUAUAAAAUGUUUUUCACACGAGGAGAGUGCCGCUUUUUUAAUUAAUUAUUGCCGGGGGGAGGGGGGAGAGGGGUGUAGAAGGGCGCCGUCACCUGCGCUGUACGCCCGAUGCCGAGCCCUCUACUGCUUGGAAACGGUGAUUCCUUUGGUCUUUUAUUUUUGUGUUUGUAUAUAAUAGACGUGCGUGUGCCCGGAGCCUCCUCUUCCUUUUUAUUAUUAUUAUUAUUAUGGCGAAGGACAACGGACGUAACCCGGUUGUCAUCUCCGAGAGCGAGGCGAAGGAGCGGGCUCCGGCUGCCGGGAGUGCUCAGAGAGAAACUGCUGGUCUCCUUUGGCUCUGUCCAUCUGCAGUGGUCAUCAUUUGUGGUAUAGAUGGAAUGGGGAAUUUGUUACCGCAGCCCUAAGUACAUAUUUAGGUGGAUGUAUGCAAGCAUGCAUACAGAUGGAUAUAGUAAAUAUAUAUUUAAGAGGAUGACAUUUGGGUGUGCCUUUGAGAAGAGCUCCUGUUUAUCAAGAAAACUAACCCAGCUUUAAAAGGAAAAGCAGCCCGUUGGUCAUCAGCCCAUGAAUCUCAUGGUUAGGAUCCACGGAGAUUCCAUGGGGAGCAUCACCUCCUACUCCAAGGAGGAACCCCAAGGAGAGGACAGGGGGCUGGGACAGUUUGCUCUCAAGCACGCGGAUUUAUGGGGAAAGGGAAAAGGAAGGCAGCAGGGUCCCGGCCCAGCUGCCCCCAGCGCAACCAGCACUGCCCACAGCCCUCCAGGUGCUCACGGCCAGGGCAACCCCAGCACAGGGCACUGCCAUCGGUGUGGGCUGGCGGCUGUGACAGACAGGGACUGAAACAUGGCACCUGUCCAAACACUUCCAGCAGCAGGUAACCAGAGAACCCACACUUUACAUUUUUGUGCGGAACAAGCAAAUUAACCGUUUCACACACCUUCCUCAAACAGCCAGGUUUGUAUGGCCGGGCACUUUGUCUUCCUUAACAUCUAAUAAAUCAGGAUGACAGAACAGAGAAAAAGCCUUUCUCCUUUUGAUAUUUGACACAUCUGUAGUAAGCCAAUACUUUUGCGCCCUGUUCUUCCACCCCCACAACGGGCUGCACUGCCCACCCAACGUAUCCAAGGCCUCAUCAGGUGGGUACAGGUCAGGAUACGGGGCUGAAAUUCACACGUUGUACAGGCAGACCUGGUUUCAGGGCCACAGAAAGCCUGAUGGAAGAGGAAGCAUCACAUUUUCAUCUGCAUUUUCAUCUCUGCGUGUGCAAAAACUGCCACGUGGGGUGCAGUCAGAGUGGGAUGGCUGUGAAAGGCCCCAUGUGAGCAGAACUGCACCUGAAUUCUAAAUCAGAACAACUUCGG
ensembl:lncRNA